rnacentral:rRNA from 1 species
UACAAAGGUCUCAAGCGUUGUUCGGAUUCAUUGGGCGUAAAGGGUGCGUAGGCGGCGGGGCAAGUCGGAUGUGAAAUCUCAGGGCUCAACCCUGAAACUGCAUUCGAUACUGCCUUGCUCGAGGACUGGAGAGGAGAUUGGAAUUCACGGUGUAGCAGUGAAAUGCGUAGAUAUCGUGAGGAAGACCAGUGGCGAAGGCGGAUCUCUGGACAGUUCCUGACGCUGAGGCACGAAGGCCAGGGGAGCAAACAGG